GACCUACAUGCAGAGUGCGCCGGCCACGUUAAGGUUAAAACAUGCACAAUGUAUUAAGUCUAAAACAGGAAAAAAAAACCCCAAAACAU